rnacentral:rRNA from 1 species
AGCGAACGCUGGCGGCAGGCCUAACACAUGCAAGUCGAACGAACUCUUCGGAGUUAGUGGCGGACGGGUGAGUAACACGUGGGAACGUGCCUUUAGGUUCGGAAUAACUCAGGGAAACUUGUGCUAAUACCGAAUGUGCCCUUCGGGGGAAAGAUUUAUCGCCUUUAGAGCGGCCCGCGUCUGAUUAGCUUGUUGGUGGGGUAAUGGCCCACCAAGGCGACGAUCAGUAGCUGGUCUGAGAGGAUGACCAGCCACAUUGGGACUGAGACACGGCCCAAACUCCUACGGGAGGCAGCAGUGGGGAAUCUUGCGCAAUGGGCGAAAGCCUGACGCAGCCAUGCCGCGUGGAUGAUGAAGGUCUUAGGAUUGUAAAAUCCUUUCACCGGUGAAGAUAAUGACUGUAGCCGGAGAAGAAGCCCCGGCUAACUUCGUGCCAGCCGCCGCAGUAA